UAGCCUAACGGCUGAACCAGCAACUUGGAGGAAUGGAUAGCGAAAGCUAAUUGUACUAAUGGUACAAUAACGAUUUAAUCGUAUAAAAUUCUGGGUAGAAUUAUGAUAAUGACAUUGUUUACCUAUAUAUCUUGACCAAAUUACGUGCCAGCAGUCGCGGUAAUACGUAGAAGAUUAGUGUUAUUCAUCUUUAAUAGGUUUAAAGGGUACCUAGACAGCAAAUCAAGCCUUCAAAAGGGACUAGUUUGCUAGAGUUACUUGUGAGGGGGCAUAAAAGUACUAUCGGUGUAGAGAUAAAAUUCGUUGAUACCCCUUUUCGUAUGAAAAUUAAUGGCACAGAUUUAGGCAAAAGCAUCCCCUUAUGUGAUAACUUUGUGUAGCGAACAGGAUUAGAUACCCCAAUAGUCGAAGCAGAAAAUGAUGAGUGUCAUAGAUUAGAUUUAUAUUUAUUCUAUAAAUGAAAGUGUAAGCACUCCACCUCAAGAGUAAUUUGGCAACAUUGGAACUGAAAUCAUUAGACCGUUUCUGAAACCAGUAGUGAAGUAUGUUGUUUAAUUAGAUAACACGCAAAAAACCUUACCACAAUUUGAAUAUUUACAAGCGUUGCAUGGUUGUCUUCAGUUAAUGUCGUGAGACUAUGGUUAGUUCCAUUAAUUAACGUAAACCCUUGCUUUAUUUUUAUAUAAGGUUGUCCCCCGCUACAUUGGAUAUGAUAACAGGGAUCAAGACA
rnacentral:rRNA from 1 species